AGAUUGAACGCUGGCGGCAUGCCUAACACAUGCAAGUCGAGCGGUAACAGGCCCUUCGGGGUGCUGACGAGUGGCGGACGGGUGAGUAAUGCGUAGGAAUCUACCCACGAGUGGGGGAUAGCCCGGAGAAAUCCGGAUUAAUACCGCAUAUGCCCUACGGGGGAAAGCGGGGGAUCGAAAGACCUCGCGCCGGUGGAUGAGCCGAAGCCGGAUUAGCUAGUUGGUAGGGUAACGGCCUACCAAGGCUACGAUCGGUAGCUGGUCUGAGAGGACGACCAGCCACACUGGGACUGAGACACGGCCCAGACUCCUACGGGAGGCAGC
rnacentral:rRNA from 1 species